rnacentral:misc_RNA from 1 species
GAUGAAGAACGUAGCGAAAUGCGAUACUUGGUGUGAAUUGCAGAAUCCCGUGAGCCAUCGAGUCUUUGAACGCAAGUUGCGCCCGAAGCCACUAGGCCGAGGGCACGCCUGCCUGGGCGUCACACGCCGUUGCCCCCCCAUCUACUCCUUCGGGAUUGCGGGGGGGCGGAUGAUGGCCUCCUGUGCGCCUAGCCGCGCGGUUGGCAUAAAUACCAAGUCCUCGGCGACGCACGCCACGACAAUCGGUGGUUGCGAAACCUCGGUUGCCCGUCGUGUGCGUUCGUCGCGCAUCGAGGGCUCGAAAAAAUGCUCGGCUCCGGCUGGGCUUUCAACGCGACCCCAGGUCAGGCGGGGUUACCCGCUGAAUUUAAGCAUAUCAAUAAGCGGAGGA